GCUUUCAUAGCUCAAUUUGGAAGAGCUUUUGCACUUAUGUCGAGGGUGCAAAGUGGUAUGGGUUCAAAUCCCAUUGAGAGCA
rnacentral:tRNA from 1 species